UACGUAGGGGGCAAGCGUUGUCCGGAAUUAUUGGGCGUAAAGAGCUUGUAGGCGGUUUGUCGCGUCUGCUGUGAAAUUUCGGGGCUCAACCCCGAACUUGCAGUGGGUACGGGCAGACUAGAGUGUGGUAGGGGAGACUGGAAUUCCUGGUGUAGCGGUGAAAUGCGCAGAUAUCAGGAGGAACACCGAUGGCGAAGGCAGGUCUCUGGGCCAUAACUGACGUGAGAAGCGAAAGCAUGGGGAGCGAACAGG
rnacentral:rRNA from 1 species